rnacentral:tRNA from 2 species
GGCCUCGUAGCUCAGGGGUAGAGCGUCGGCUUCCAGUUCCGAAGGCCAUCCGUUCAAAUCGGGUCGGGGUCA